GGGCAAUCUGCCCUGCACUCUGGGACAAGCCCUGGAAACGGGGUCUAAUACCGGAUGAUACCUACUGGGGCAUCUUAGUGGGUUGAAAGCUCCGGCGGUGCAGGAUGAGCCCGCGGCCUAUCAGCUUGUUGGUGGGGUGAUGGCCUACCAAGGCGACGACGGGUAGCCGGCCUGAGAGGGCGACCGGCCACACUGGGACUGAGACACGGCCCAGACUCCUACGGGAGGCAGCAGUGGGGAAUAUUGCACAAUGGGCGGAAGCCUGAUGCAGCGACGCCGCGUGAGGGAUGACGGCCUUCGGGUUGUAAACCUCUUUCAGCAGGGAAGAAGCGCAAGUGACGGUACCUGCAGAAGAAGCACCGGCUAACUACGUGCCAGCAGCCGCGGUAAUACGUAGGGUGCGAGCGUUGUCCGGAAUUAUUGGGCGUAAAGAGCUCGUAGGCGGCUUGUCGCGUCGGAUGUGAAAGCCCGGGGCUUAACCCCGGGUCUGCAUUCGAUACGGGCAGGCUAGAGUGUGGUAGGGGAGAUCGGAAUUCCUGGUGUAGCGGUGAAAUGCGCAGAUAUCAGGAGGAACACCGGUGGCGAAGGCGGAUCUCUGGGCCAUUACUGACGCUGAGGAGCGAAA
rnacentral:rRNA from 1 species